rfam:TPA: Bos taurus chromosome 5, whole genome shotgun sequence.
UCCCUGGUGGCUCAGAUGGUAGAGCGUCUGCCUGCAAUAUGGGAGGCCCGGGUUCAAUCCCUGGGUUGGGAA